rnacentral:rRNA from 1 species
AAUCAACGCUGGCGGCGUGCCUAACACAUGCAAGUCGAGCGCGAAAGGGGAGCAAUCCCCAAGUAGAGCGGCGAACGGGUGAGUAACGCGUGGGUAAUCUGCCUCCGAGUGGGGAACAACACCGGGAAACUGGUGCUAAUACCGCAUGACAUCGUUGGACCUUCGGAUCUGACGAUCAAAGCCGGGGACCGCAAGGCCUGGCGCUUGGAGAGGAGCCCGCGUCCGAUUAGCAGUUGGUGGGGGUAAUGGCCCACCAAGGCUACGAUCGGUAGCCGGCCUGAGAGGGCGGACGGCCACACUGGGACUGAGACACGGCCCAGACUCCUACGGAGGCAGCAGUGGGGAAUUUUUCGCAAUGGGCGAAAGCCUGACGAAGCAACGCCGCGUGGAGGAU